GACAGAGGUGGCAAGCGUUGUUCGGAUUCAUUGGGUGUAAAGGGCAGGUAGGUGGCCGGAUAAGUCUGACGUGAAAUCCCAUGGCUCAACCGUGGAACUGCGUUGGAAACUGUCUGGCUUGAGUAUCGGAGAGGUGAAGGGAAUUCUCGGUGUAAGGGUGAAAUCUGUAGAUAUCGAGAGGAACACCAGUGGCGAAGGCGCUUCACUGGCCGAUUACUGACGCUGAGCUGCGAAAGCAAGGGGAGCAAACAGG
rnacentral:rRNA from 1 species